rnacentral:rRNA from 1 species
GUGGGGAAUAUUGCACAAUGGGGGAAACCCUGAUGCAGCGACGCCGCGUGAUUGAAGAAGUAUUUCGGUAUGUAAAGAUCUAUCAGCAAGGAAGAAAAUGACGGUACUUGACUAAGAAGCCCCGGCUAACUACGUGCCAGCAGCCGCGGUAAUACGUAGGGGGCAAGCGUUAUCCGGAUUUACUGGGUGUAAAGGGAGCGUAGGCGGUCUGGCAAGCCAGAAGUGAAAGCCCGGGGCUUAACCCCGGGACUGCUUUUGGAACUGUUAGACUAGAGUGUCGGAGAGGUAAGUGGAAUUCCUAGUGUAGCGGUGAAAUGCGUAGAUAUUAGGAGGAACACCAGUGGCGAAGGCGGCUUACUGGACGAUAACUGACGCUGAGGCUCGAAAGCGUGGGGAGCAAACAGGAUUAGAAACCCUAGUAGUCC